CUAAUGCUGUUGCUGCCAUUGGAGCCAGUCAGGUUCACAGCCGAGUCCUGGCGACUCUCAGAGGCUGUGGGGAGAAGAAACCUAUCAGGAUGACCACAAGUACGUGGGCAGCGUCCUCCCCAGCCCCCCUUGAGCUUCUCAGGGCUGUGUGUGCCACACUUAAGCUACCAAUACGACUGCAUUUGUCAAGCAGAAACAAAAAGGUUCUGCACCUGCAGACCCAACAACUGUGCAUGGAAAACAGUGGGAAGAACAGCACACUGGAGCCAGGCCCUUGGGAGGCUGAGGCAGGAGGAUGCUCAAGGCCAACUUCUGCAAUUUAGUGAGACCCUGUCUCAAAAUAAUUUUUUUUUUUUCCAAAGGGCUGUGGCAUAGCUCAGUGAUUAAGAGUGUCCCUGGAUUCCAUCUCCAGCGCCAGAAAAAAAUUAUGCCUGGACAGACUCCGAACAAUACAGUGUAACAACUACA